rnacentral:snRNA from 1 species
AUACUUACCUGGCUAGGGGGAGACACCAUGAUCAAGAAGGCAGUUCACGCAGGGCGAGGAUCGUUCAUUGCACUCCGGCUGUGCUGACCCCUGCGAAUUCCCCCGAAAUUUCGGGAAUCUCGACUGCAUAAUUUAUCGGUUUUAUGGGUUUUCUCUCCUGAUCCUUUU